UCCAGUUAGAUAUGCUAUUGUGAUUUACUGGUUAAGCAGGUAAGCUUACCUUCUGCGAGCAGGUUGAGGCACUUGAACUCUUCUUAAACAAAAUGUAUUACUUUCCUUUCUACUGCCACCCUUAAGUACAAGAGAGGACCCAGAUUUUCUCUACAACACUUUGCUUAGAUGUUGCCCACCUGGCAGUGGUGGAGCUUGAACGAAAUAUGAGGGGCGAAUUAGUGGUAGGCACAAUAUUUGGAGAAUGGUUUUACAAAUUCUGGGGAAAUCGACCAUGCAGAACAGAAUUACCCUUCCAUGAAGAAAAACACGAUUUAGAUUACCAAAAUUGCAAAUAUACAUUAUUCUUCGCAACUUUAAAUAUCUCAAAUAAUUUGGACAGAUUCAAACAUAAUGAAAUUUAAAUUGCAAAUUGCUACAAGAUUUAUUUGUAUAGUCUAGUUUCUUAAUUGUAGCAAAAUAUAAUGUUUGCACUUAUGGAAGUGUUUUAUUGAGUUAACAAGGAAGGGAUGCGUCAGGCACGACAAUGGCUGUGACUGAGCGAAACUGAUUCUCAUUUGUUAGGAAUAUGAGCGAAAUAGAUCCCAUACUGCCUUUUCUUGCUAAUCCUAGGCAUGUCCAAGGAUGUGCUAGAACUUAUUUUGAGUGGACCGGUGGGACAAGUGAAGCUUAAUGCCAGGGUCUGGCAAUCUUGGAGAUGGUCCAGUGGCUGGCCACCUGUCACGCCUUCAUGGCACACUGCAUAUUUGACAGUCUUUUCUCGACACCCUGCUUCCGCGUCCCUUCAUUAGCAGCUCUCCAUUCUCUUCCCCAUGCCUUCACCCAUCUACCUUCUCUUGUAUUUGCUGAUAUUCUGCCCCCCUCUCUAUUGGAUGUGCUCUUUCAGUUGCCUUCCCUGUCCAUCCAACCGCCUCACUUUCAGCUAGCUCCUCCCUAUUACUCUCCCAGUUCCUUCUGUUAGUGCAGGUUAUUCUCCCUCUACUCCUCUAAUGGCUGAUGACUUAGGACCCUUCCCCUUUUGUGCAUAUGUUUGUGUCUGCUCAUAGAUGAUAAUGAUGUCACAUUAGUGGUAGCAUAACUAAAUACAUCAUCUUUCAUGUGCUUCAUGGAUGCUCUUUUGUUUUACUUCUACCAUUUUCUACAUUGCAUUUGAUCAUUUUGUAUGGUUAAGGAUAUAUCAAGUCCUACUGUAAUUUAUACGUUCUUCCCUCUCGUUCCCUUCAUACUUUCUUUAUUCGUACGGGCUUAUAGCUAUGCCAUUUGCACAUUUUACACUGUUGAUAUUUGGGGUCAUUAUGGUACCUAGUGAAAUAAUGACUAUUAGGAUAUUUAUUCUAGUGUUAGCCUGUUUGCUUAAAUAUUUUCUCAGCAUAUCUCGCAAUGUUUGUCUAAUUGGAAUAUGUAUGGGCGGCCCAUUUUCUCAUUAUUUGGUCAUAUUCGAUGUUCAAUACUUCAUAUUAAACACAUGACCAAAAUGGCUGGAUUCACCAUAAAUACUGCUUUAAUCUUGAAUUGCAUUUUUACUUAACAUUUAUCAUUAUAAGUGGUGGCCAAAGUAUUUUUUUGAUGUUGUACGGAUUAAAAUAGAAUGUCAUAUGUAUUGUAGAUUGAAGGAAGUGUAUCUAUUAAUAAGACGAUGCAUGAUCCCUUAAUUGAUUCUUCGACUGAAUGAAUCUAACUAAAUUUGAUUUGUUAGCAACUAGCUAGGUAAACCAGAUGUUUCUCCUUUCCUAUUCCAUGAGCCCCUCAUAUGCCCAUCAUAACGAAAAAUAUUUUAAAUGAUUUGGUGAGCUAGGAUCUUCGGAAUUGGCCUCCUAUGGAGUUCUUAAAGCCACUAAUCUUUUAGCCUCUACUAACAUCAAAUGUAGCCAAAAAACUUGAUGUUGGCAAUGGAAUUUCUAGGCGUGCCACUAUUUUGCAAAUCACCUAUUGCUUCUCUUUGUUCGUAUUGCUGGCAUUGUGUUAAUGCUGAGAGGAUCCAAAUUUGGAGAUUUUGGUAGAAGUCCACAACACUAGUGUAGCGACGGUUACUGUUUGAGUCGUACAAAAAUUGGGCGAUAUAACUUUAAUAGAUUUUGCAUGAAUGACUUGUACAGAUUGGCUUGACUGAUGAAAUUGAUUGCUCUGCAGGUGUCUGGAAUUACAGUCCGGUGGCAGAUGCAGAAACGGCUUUUUUGCUGUAGGUUCUUCCAUUUUAUAUGCUGUGUUGGUGCUGGCAUUAUUCAUUAGUCAACUGGCAUGAAGACACGUUUCGCUUGUUUGUGUUGGCGCUGUCGGUUAUCUCGCUUGCAAGCGUUUGAGGCAAGCCAAAGUCUUCUGUCCUGUGUUGUGUCUGGUCGAGAUUGUAACUACUAUUAUCUGAUUAAGCUGUUGUCUUCUUUUUUUCGUGUGUGCAUGCGUGCACUUGGGUUUGUACUACAUUAGAUAUAAAUAUAAAUAUGUAUGUCGAAAAGAUAGCAAUGCUGCGGUGAUGCUACAAGAGUUGAAUUUGUACCACAUGAUCGAACACAUGCAGUUGUCAGGAUCUGGUUACUCUUGGCGAAUAUAAGAUUGCACCCCGUUGUGUUGUUACCAGGAUGCCCAGGAUGUGAGCUGUGUCGAGUUUGCUGUGUGUGGCUCAGGAUGCAUAAAGUUUGUCUUCUGUUUCAUUU
rnacentral:lncRNA from 1 species